CCAAUUUGAUGAAAAACUACCGCUAUUCAAAGAUUAUGUUCCAAGUAGUUCUCAAAGACAGUGUUAACUAUGGAGGUUUAAAGAGCGAAGUGGUGGCAGCUGGAGGGCGAUAUGAUGGUUUAAUUGAGUUGUGCGAACGUGAUUCUGGAAUCGAGAGUGGAGCUCGACAGUCAGCUGUUGGUGUCACAAUCUACCUUGAUCAAUUCGUCGAGAUCUUAGGACCACUGACAAAAUUCGAAGUGCUGGUUUGCUCCGCAGACUCGAAUGAAUUAUUAAAAGAAAAAUUGGAUUUGGCGAAGAAAAUAUGGGCAGCCAAAAUACGAUGUACCAUUUCUUACGCUGCACAUAACAGUUUGGAAGAAAUUCAGGAAUACUGCAGAAAGAUGAAGAUAGAUUACGCAUUAUUUCUGGAAAAAUCUAACCUUGAGAGAGUCACAUUGUGUUCUCAGAUA